rnacentral:rRNA from 1 species
AUUGAACGCUGGCGGCAUGCUUUACACAUGCAAGUCGAACGGUAACAAGGAGCUUGCUCCGCUGACGAGUGGCGAACGGGUGAGUAAUGCAUCGGAACAUGCCCAGUCAUGGGGGAUAACUACGCGAAAGCGUAGCUAAUACUGCAUACGCCCUGAGGGGGAAAGUGGGGAUCUUAGGACCUCACGUGAUUGGAGUGGCCGAUGUCAGAUUAGCUAGUUGGUGAGGUAAAGGCUCACCAAGGCGACGAUCUGUAGCGGGUCUGAGAGGAUGAUCCGCCACACUGGGACUGAGACACGGCCCAGUACUCCUACGGGAGGCAGCA